rnacentral:rRNA from 1 species
ACGGGUGAGUAACGCGUGGGAACAUACCCUCCGGUUCGGAAUAGCUCAGGGAAACUUGGAUUAAUACCGGAUACGGCUGAGAGGCGAAAGAUUUAUCGCCGGAGGAUUGGCCCGCGUUCGAUUAGCUAGUUGGUGAGGUAACGGCUCACCAAGGCGAUGAUCGAUAGCUGGUCUGAGAGGAUGAUCAGCCACAUUGGGACUGAGACACGGCCCAAACUCCUACGGGAGGCAGCAGUGGGGAAUAUUGGACAAUGGGCGCAAGCCUGAUCCAGCCAUGCCGCGUGAGUGAUGACGGCCUUAGGGUUGUAAAGCUCUUUCGCUCGGGACGAUAAUGACGGUACCGAGAUAAGAAGCCCCGGCUAACUUCGUGCCAGCAGCCGCGG